rnacentral:sRNA from 1 species
AUUAAAUUAAAUAGUUGACACAGUUGUACUUUUUUUUUCGGUAUAGAUUUAUUAUUUAUUACAAAUUAUGAGAACUGUUAUAUAAUCGAUUUUAUCACGGAUAAUUCAUUCCGAUCCUUAUUAGAUCCACAAUUGAUGACACCUCCUUCUCCUUCUCAAUGCGCUUGAUGGACACCUUCAAUAUCUUCUUUGCGUGAAAUCCUGGUGAAUUGAACGGCUAUAUUUGUAUGUCGUUGUAGACUAAGUUGAUAGAUUAUCUAUUAAUUUUGGGUUGCCUGAAUUUUCAACCCUAUACUAGUUGGAAUCUCAACUUUCCACCCUAAACUUUUAGUCAUUUGAAAAACCACCAUAAAAAACUUUAAUCUCGAUAAAACUACACGUACUUUCGGAUUUGUUGUUAAAACUAUGUCUCCAAUUGAACCGACCAGUUAACCGAUAAUUAUACACCCGGUUUGAAUUACCCAAAAUUUAACCGAACCUAAUUCGAUUUUGACUCUAUUUUAACCCAAUUUUGACCCAAAAAAUAUAUUCUCUAGAAGAAGAAUACUAUUUAUUUAUUUACAUUUAAUUUUGAUAAAAAUACUAAAUUAAUUAAU